rnacentral:rRNA from 1 species
AUUUGAAAUCUGGUCCCUCUGGGGGCCCGAGUUGUAAUCUGUAGGGGAUGCUUCGGAGUUGAACCCGGCCUAAGUUCCUUGGAACAGGACGUCGCAGAGGGUGAGAAUCCCGUACGCGGCCGGUGGGCGUCUCCGUGCGAAGCUCCUCCAACGAGUCGAGUUGUUUGGGAAUGCAGCUCUAAAUGGGAGGUAAAUUUCUUCUAAAGCUAAAUACCGGCCAGAGACCGAUAGCGCACAAGUAGAGUGAUCGAAAGAUGAAAAGCACUUUGGAAAGAGAGUUAAAAAGUACGUGAAAUUGUUGAAAGGGAAGCGCUUGCACCCAGACUCGGCCGCUUCGGUUCAACCCUACCCGCGUAGGGCUCACUCCGUUGCGGUCGGGCCAGCAUCGGUUCGGGCGGUUGUUUAAAGGCGCGGGGAAUGUGGCUCCUCUCGGGGAGUGUUAUAGCCCCGCGUGCAAUGCGACCUGCCUGGACCGAGGACCGCGCCUUGGCAAGGAUGCUGGCUUAAUGGUUGUAAGCGGCCCGUCUUGAAACACGGACCAAGGAGUCUAACAUCUAUGCGAGUGUUCGGGUGUCAAACCCCUACGCGCAAUGAAAGUGAACGGAGGUCGGAGCCCUCGGGCGCACGAUCGACCGAUCCUGAUGUCUUCGGAUGGAUUUGAGUAAGAGCAUAAAUGUUGGGACCCGAAAGAUGUGCGAACUAUGCUUGAGUAGGCCGAAGCCAGCGGAAACGCUGGUGGAGGGUCGCAGCGGUUCUGACGUGCAAAUCGAUCGUCAAACUUGAGUAUAGGGGCGAAAGACUAAUCGAGCCAUCUAGUAGCUGGUUCCUGCCGAAGUUUCCCUUA